rnacentral:rRNA from 1 species
AUUGAACGCUGGCGGAAUGCUUUACACAUGCAAGUCGAACGAUGAACCUUAGCUUGCUAAGGGGAUUAGUGGCGAACGGGUGAGUAAUAUAUCGGAACGUGCCUCGUAAUGGGGGAUAACUAGUCGAAAGAUUAGCUAAUACCGCAUACGCCCUGAGGGGGUUAGUAGGGGAUCUUCGGACCUUACGUUAUAAGAUCGGCCGAUAUCUGAUUAGCUAGUUGGUGGGGUAAUGGCCUACCAAGGCGACGAUCAGUAGCUGGUCUGAGAGGACGACCAGCCACACUGGAACGGAGACACGGUCCAGACUACUACGCGAGGCAGCAGUGGGGAAUUUUGGACAAUGGGCGCAAGCCUGAUCCAGCCAUUCCACGUGAGUGAAGAAGGCCUUCGGGUUGUAAAGCUCUUUCGCAAGGGAAGAAAACUUACCAUCGAAUAAAUGGUGAGGCUGACGGUACCUUGAGAAGAAGCACCGGCUAACUACGUG